rnacentral:rRNA from 1 species
CACACUGUAAACGAUGAUCACUAGGUGUGGGGGGACUGACCCCUUCCGUGCCGGAGUAAACACAAUAAGUGAUCCACCUGGGGAGUACGGCCGCAAGGUUGAAACUCAAAGGAAUUGACGGGGGCCCGCACAAGCAGUGGAGUAUGUGGUUUAAUUCGAAGCAACGCGAAGAACCUUACCAGGUCUUGACAUCGUGCGCAUAGCAUAGAGAUAUGUGAAGCCCUUCGGGGCGCACAGACAGGUGG